GUUAAGAGUCAAAAUCCAAGAAAGGAGUUUUAAGGGGGGGGCCUGCUUUAGAGGCUUCAAAAAAUCUAUUUUUUUUUUUGCGUAAAUGUCUUCCCAAACUAUCCAAAAUGUGUCCCUAAAAUUUCAGACGCAGAUUCGAAAUAUUUUCGGAGUUACAGAAGAAAUAGUGAGCAAGCGUCGAGCAGGUAUACGAGCGGUUUUUUGAAGUUUUCAACCAGUUUUUCGAAGAGUCUGAACCAGUUUUUUGAAGUUUUGAACCAGUGUUUUGAAGAGUCUGGAGGGCGACUCUAUGGACCAGGAAUCGCUGAUUAGCAUAUUAAUGCGACGGAAAUUGCGACCUGCACCUUUCCCGCCGCACGACAAAUGCACACUCGAGACGCCUCGGUGAAAUGCUUGUACCAGGCAUAAUAUGACAUGUAUCCUAAUGAAAAAAUUCGAGAAGACUGUUGAAAUACAUAACAAUAAACCCUGAAAGUUUCGUUU
rnacentral:lncRNA from 1 species